CAGGUUUAUAAUAUUUGGAUGUUUUAUUUUCUUGAAAUCAAGCAGGUUACAUUUCAUUAGUUUUUACACAAUCUGAUAUUUGGAGCCAUUUGCAAAUAUGCUCAUAAAUUACAUGAUUUGUAAUCCUUAUCGAAAAAAAUCAUAAAAGAAUGAGGUGGUUAAUGAUCAAUAUUGGGAUCAACAGUGAUCACCCUACUGUAGGCAUUACGUAUGCAGGCAGAAAAAUAAAAGUUCCCAUUAAGGUCUCAUGUGAAACACCACAGGUCUGAAAUACUCAGGAACACAGGAAAAUGGUACAAAAAUGAAUUUCAAUUUUUUGCUAAAGAGACAUUGACAGGCCCACAGAGAGCCUGGAGCUCACGGGACAACAUUCACACACAUUCUGCUUCAUGAAGAGGUCAGAUUAUCGUCAGACCAUAGACAUUACAUGCAAGGACACUGAACCUUUGGCCGGAUUACACAUAGAAAUGCAAUCCUAAACAAAAUGGGUAAAGAUAAAGCAUGUUUAUUGAUGCGGCAAACAAAGGUUCAAAUAUCCUCCAAAGCACUUCAAGCCCUCAAAGAAUGAAACUCAAAACGCAGAUGAGGUAAAAGAAGAAACUUCUAAAUUAAAGUGGAGCGACCCAGGGACAAGUCUGGUUUGGGUUAAAGAUUAUGGAUGGUUAACUUUGUGUAACGCGUUUGGACAAGCAAGUUUAGGUUUUAGGCAAGCGAGUUUAGGCAGGCGACUUCAGGUAUUAGGCAAGCGAGUUUAGCCAAGCGAGUACAGGCAAGCGAGUCAAGCCAAGCGAGUUUAGGUUUUAUGCAAGCGUAUUUAGCCAAGCGAGUACAGGCAAGCGAGUCAAGCCAAGCGAGUUUAGGUUUUAUGCAAGCGAGUUUAGACAAGCGAGUUUAGGCAAGCAAGUUUAGGUAAGAGAGUCAAGUUACUUUAGGCCUCACUUUAUUUGCGGUUAAAUUGCGGCAUUAGGUUUAGAAAGAAGGUUAAGAUCCAGGCUCAGGUUUGCUUCCAGCCUCGUCCCUCUAGCCGCUCCCUAUAAAGAGGGUUCCCAGCUACAGUGUUAAAAUACAACAGCUGGGAUUACAGAUGUGGAGUACAGAAAUAAAUGACAAAGAUUGAUUCAAACAUUCUUCCCCCAAAAUGUGGUGCAACAUAAUGGAGAAAAUAAUUACUUUCUCUCCAUUGAAACCCAGUCAUAUCUUACGAUCUCACGAGGUCCCACCGCAAGGGGCGGACUUACAAGCUCUAUAGAGUGUGCACUGUGUGUUAAUGUUGGGUGUGGAUUAAUGUGCUGGUGUAGCCAGGGAUCCUCAGGGUUUAUGGGGAGUAGGACACACUGGUGUAGUUCAGUGCUCGUUGGGUCUCUGCACCAUGACACCCAGCUGCCGCACAUCUGGUCUCCCUUUAAGUCGCCUGAAGGAGAGGUCAAC
ensembl:lncRNA